GAUAAACGCUGGCGGCGUGCCUUAUGCAUGCAAGUCGAACGGUCCCGAUUUAUCGGGAUAGUGGCGAACGGGUGAGUAACGCGUAAGUAACCUGCCCUCAAGUAGGGGAUAACUCUGAGAAAUUGGAGCUAAUACCUUAUGUGGUGAUGGAGCUAGUGCUUCAUCAUUAAAGCCUUAGGGUGCUUGAGGAGGGGCUUGCGUCCGAUUAGCUGGUUGGUAGGGUAAUGGCUUACCAAGGCGAUGAUCGGUAGCUGGUUUGAGAGGAUGAUCAGUCACACUGGGAUUGAGAUACGGCCCAGACUCCUACGGGAGGCAGCAGCAAGGAAUAUUGUGCAAUGGGCGAAAGCCUGACACAGCGACGUCGCGUGGGGGAUGAAGGCUUUCGGGUUGUAAACCCCUUUUCUCAGGGAAGAAUAAUGACGGUACCUGAGGAAUAAGUCACGGCUAACUACGUG
rnacentral:rRNA from 1 species